UGAAUAAAUGUUAAAAAAAAAUUUUUUUUAGAGCCACCGUGAGAUAUCCUCAAUGAUUAACAAAGAAAAAAGUCAUUUGAUAACAUACCUGGCUCAUAACUAUCAUUAUUAGACAGUGCUGAUCUAGGUGGAGACAAAUUCUCCCUUGAGUUACUAGUUAAGUCACUGAGCUUCAGGGCCUGGAAGCCUGGUUCUUCCCUAUGCGUCAGGACCACUGCGGCAGGGGCCCAACCUCAGCCCUCCUCGGCAAGGAUGCUCAGCCCGCCACACCUCUUAUUCUUGGUCACUGCCCAAAUAUCAGCUCCUCUGGUCAUCUCUUAUUUCCACACUGCUCUGUCAUUCCUCUUUUUUCUCAACGACCCCCUGUCUCCACCGUCCCGAAACUUUUUACUUGGUCCUUUGGAAAGCCGGUUUUUGGUCAACAAAAUUGCCUGCUGAUUGCACAGCCUACAGUUGAACUCUGGGGCCUGGCCGGUGAGGAGAAUGCAUGAAGUAUGAGGGGCUAAUGGCCAGGGGUGAACACGCGUGUACCCACUGUGAGUGGUAACGACACUGACAAGCUGGAGAGCCCACAUGUCCUGAGCCAGCUUCAUGUGGGGAACGCGGACUCAGUCUGGUCAGGUCUUCAGUUGUUUCAAGAGAGGCAUGAAACCCUCCCACAACUGCUGGGGGGAUGUAAAACUGUUCAGUGUUGUUGAAACAAUUAACCAUUCCUCAGAUAGCUAAACACAGAGUUCCCACAUGACCAGCAAUUCACUCCCGAGAAUCAAAGAGAAUCCAAGAGAAUCGAAAACAGUUCCCACAGAGACUUGGACGUGAAUGUUCACAGCAGCAAUAUUCAGGACGUCCAACAAUGGAAGCAACCCAAAAGUCUGCCAAGGAAGGAACGAAUGAACAAUGUGUGGUAGUCCGUCCAAUGGAAUAUGAUUUCGCCAUAAUCAGGAAUGAAGUCCUGACAUAGACUGUAACAUGGAUGAGACUUGGGAACAUUAAACUCGAUGAAAGAACCCAGCCACAAAAGGCCACUUCUUGUAUGAUUCCGCUCGUAUGAAGUCUUCACAACAGGUGGUCUUUGACUCCACUCUUCCUGUCUUCACUUCCUGCCCUCUCCUGUGUGGCUCCCCCACCCUGACCGCUCCUCUAGCAACCUCACGACUCCUCUCCAGCUGACUGUCCGCCGCACCUGCCUGGAAACCCCAACUCAGAGACACGAGGAGAACGCCACGUGAGGAGAAUUGGAGCCAUUCACCAAAGGUUAACCCCCACCACCAGAAGCUAGGAAGAGGCAAGGAAGGACAGUCCCUUACAGGUGUCAGAGGGAACAUGGCCCUGCCAGCAUCGUGAUUUCUAGUCUCCAGAACUUUGAGACCAUAAGCUUCCGGGUUUUGUUUCGUUUUGUUUUUUUUUAAGCCAGCCAGUUUGUGGUACUUGGUUACAACAGCCCUAGAAAUUAAUACACUAAAUUAAAAUAACAUUGAAAUGCCUUUUUUAUUUUUCCCAUCAGCUUGGCAAACAAAACAGAACAAAAAAAGAUGAUAAUAUCCAGGGCCGGCAAGGAUGUGGGUGUGAGAGAAUGCCCACCGCAAUGGCUGGUUGGAGUGGGAUUUAGUGACAUCUCACUGGAGGGCGAUUUGGGCCUCCUCCCAAUAAAACCUUCAAAUAAAAAUGAAAAGGUCCGGCAAUUCCUGUCUAUUGUGGAGAAGCGUAUGUGUUCACAAAAGAGAUGCAUGUAAGAAUGUUCUCUGUUAUACUUUUGGAAUAGCCAAACACUGACAAAUGCAUCAUGUCCCUUGGUAGGGGAUGAAUGGUUCCAUAAACUGGCUCGUCUCUUCUCAGGGAGGAUUCAUGAAGUUAAUGAAGCUUAAGCUUCCCUGCCCCUCCCUGGCAUCAGCUCCUUUGAAUGCCCGGAAGG